rnacentral:sRNA from 12 species
ACCACGGCCAGGGUGGUUUCCGAAAGGAAUAGGCCUGGAUGCUCCAGCCGGAGGUGAGCAUAAUAAAAAACAACCGGCAGCC